UAGUUCUGCAACACGACAAGAGCAUUAACAGGUCUGGCCGCAGACUCAUUCACUGCGAGGCUGCUUUUGGUUCGGAGUUUGACUCUCCUAUGUUUGCAUGCGGAGCAACGGCACCUGCAACUCGGGAGGAUUCUCCUGCAAGUAAAGACAGACACCAUGUAUCAGGUCCAAACCCAGCAGACUGUCAGACUUCCAGCUCAGGUCUCCGGGAAGUGAAGUCUUCUAUCCCCCCUUUGCUUCCUGAUGUCCUUGGCGAGGUCUUCGAACUUCACCUGUGCAGCCUGGAAGAAUUCCUGAGGCUCCGGCAGAGGAAACACACUCUUAUCUGUGCCAGCAUCCUGGAACACACAGAAGUAUAUGAGUGUUGAGUAAGUAAUACAUGCGUGAUGACGUCCACUUUGCGGCCAAUGGAGGCGAUGAUAUCGAGGAACACUGACUGAAAUAUGAUGCAGCGUGCUCGGCCUGCAAAGUUGGGAAUCUGGGAGAGCUCAUAAAGAAACCUGGAAACAAAAGAAAAAGCUGUUCCCGUUGCAGAGAAGCUGUCAAUGUGGUCCUGAUGUCUGGAUCAGAGAGAUCGCUGGAGGUCCAUUUCCUACAUCUUAUUAGAGUGGAUUAUUCAGUCCCUCAGCCAUGCAGCCGUCAAUCACACACCAAAGGGGGGCCUGCUCCAGUGUGCACAAGAGCACUCUGAUCCGAGGGGAGCCGGAUAUCUCUCCACACCAACAGAUCAAAGCAGGCCUGCCAACCGCCUCACACCCUCUCCUUACACUUUUCACUCAUCGGCUUUAGUGUGGAAGGGCAUGUGUGGUGUGUGAACAAGCUCAUAUGUGUGUGUGUUUGUAGUUGGUGUGUGGGGGAGAGCCUCCCUUUGCCCUUGAACCAUGGUGGCCCUUGAGGUCCCCCAGUCACUCCUUCGGGUGCAUUUUAUCCCCCCCUCUGCCUUAACUAGAGUGCUACCUUCUCUGCUCCCCUCCUUCCCUCCCUAGUAGCUCUAAUUACAUUACAUGUCCCAUGUCCUUUUAAUUUGGCAACAAAGGGGAGGCAAGCAGGCGAGGCCAGGGACCAGAGCCCUUAGAAGUGCUUAUUAAGGUGCUGUCCUUCAUUGUCAGAUUCAAAUUGUCAAUUUCACUUCCCAUUAAGGCACGAGGAGGCAACCUCACACUGAGAGUAAGCUGGCCUUUUUAACCAAACCUGCUCUACAAGCUCACACUGGAACAGAGAGAAAAUGAAUUAAAAGGAAAAAAAAUAAAAACUGGUGCUUUGUGCUGUGGCUUGUGCAUUAGGCGGUUUUAUGUGGCAGUGCAGUGUCUGCUAACUGUGGAAGGUGGUUUUGUACAUGCUCAGAUCAUUAGUGGGGUGUCAGUCCCAUUAGGCUUGUGGAAACCGUCACUGGCUACAAUAAACAGAUCUGCUGGCCGCAUGCUCAGACUAGCAGGCGGCAGGAACUCUCCGCCACAGUCCCAGCACAGGACCAAUUCCUGGCCUAUCUACUCUGUCCCCAACACACACAUUACGUGUUUACAUACACAAUGUGGCUGGAUUUUCCACAGAACAAGCAAGCAUGUAAUCAAUUUAUGUGGCUCUUCAAAUAAAGGAGAUUGCAAUUUAUUGUAUUUUUAGAGGCACAAAAAGGAUUUUUGGGCAAGGGCAGCAGUAGCUCAGUCUGUUGGGACUUGGAAGGAAGUAUGGAAAUCGCUCUAGUGCACUUCCCGAGCACUGCCAAUGUGCUCUUAAGCAAGGCACCAAACCCUCAACUGCUCGGGGGUGCGCUCUUUUGUGUGCACCCCCCUCACUCUGACAUCUCUUCAUAAGUUCAUGUCCAUAGGAUAAUGUUUGUGCAUUAGUGUAUACCUGACCUAUAUGUGUGCAGCUUGUUCAAUAACAAAGGUAAAAACUGAUUUUCAGCCCAGGGAUGAAUAAAGUUUAUCUUCUUCUUUCUUCAUGUGACAGAAAAACUGAGAGGCUGCUUUCAUCCCAGUGUUGAACUCUCAUUAUCAGACAAUUCAAGAUAUUUUCUUUCCCACCACAGUGAUGGAAAAUAAUCCACUUUUCCACUUGAGACACAAAUGAAAAAAAUAGUGUGUCUUGUUACAAAUUAUAAGCUGUCAAGAGUAAGGACAUUAUUCUCAGCUGCAGGGCUCAUUAUCGCAUCAUCUCAUCUUCUAAAAAGAACUCCAUCUGCAUUUCGUCAGAAGUCACUCACAAAUUCUUGCCAAAUGGGAGUGUACAUUCGGUCUGUAAUAUGAAUAUGAGCUCCUUCCUUGACAGAGAUUUAAAUAAUAUCACAGCUUUCAAAAACACAAGAUAACAUAUCGUCAAUGAAAAAACUUUUUUUUUACCUUGCUGAAUGUCCUUCAACUCAAGAUGCAGGCUGGAUAUCAGGAUGCCGACAGCUUGGGAACGCUUCCCAUCCAGCAGCUUGAUUAACUGAAUAACACAGAAAACAAAUACGUUCUUAUAUCAGAAGAUGAAUAUUUAGUAGGAUUAGUGGGAGCUACAUAAUAUGUAUUUAAUUAGAGUUAUUGCCCCAUCUUAAAUUAAUUUAUACUAAUAUACAUUAUUGUGUUAAUCUGAGUAUGACACCUUAUUAGACUAUUAGAACUUCAUCAACACAUUGACCUAAUUUGGGGAAUUUUUGGUUCAAAUGUCGACUUAAAUUAUUCUUAAUCAUUUCGCAAACAUAGACACGUUCUGUAUGUUUGAUCUACAGAAACCCUACGUGUACAUACAUCCAUACAUUUCAUUUACUCAAGCAACAAAUCAUUUCUGGUUGUUUUCGUCAAGGUCUCGACUUACUGAUCUUGUAUUACCAGAGUUGCAAAAGCACAAAACAAACAGAAUUAGUCUUAACUUACAUCUUUAGUGUGUGUAACAGCAGCAUGACAUGUCCGGUUUCUUGCCUAUCACAGUGUCCAGAUAACUGUUUUUGUUUUAUAGAACGAUAAUGAGAUAUUUUGAUCCAUUAUAAAGGAAAGACCAGAUUUGUUAUCUCUGAAUAAGUAGAAAAAUAAGUUGAGAUCUUGAGAAAACAACUGAAAUCAACUCAUUAUGAGGGGAAAACCAGCAUUGUUAUCUUUAAAUAACAAGAUAAAUGAGAUCUUGAGAAAACAGUUUUAAAUGUUAUCACCGAAAAAUAAAGACCAUAAAAUGUACAGGUUCAUGUCUGUUAAAGGCUUUCAUUAUGCUCCACAGUUUACCUUGACUUUUCAUAUUUUGAGUUAUUAUCAAUUCUGUUUUUUAAUCAAUGACACUAAACGAGUUAAGGAAAAUGGUGAAUAAAAAAUACAUUUCUGUGAUGAGAUGAUGAGAGGCCAGGUAAAACUUCUUGCUGUGUAAGAGAUGAACCGCCUGGAGCCCCUGUUACUCUAUGUAGCAGUCUACGUAGCAGGGAUUGACCCAGUUCAUCAACACAAGUUGUCACAACCCCUCAACAUAAUCCAAGAAGAUAGAGAAACACACUUUGUCUAAUUUGUUUCUAUAAGGGAGCAAAGUCAAGUUAGAGAGGGUACACCUCUGGUUUACUAAGAACACGUGUGUGAUAUAAUCAAAAAUAUCAAGUCGUAGUGAAAGUACAAAGGCAAAAGUGGCACCAUAAAAGGACAGUCUAGAAGAGCAAGGCAAAGAGAAGCAGGGCUUUUUUUAUAACAAACUAUAAAUUCACAGGAUUUUUAUUUGUACCUACACAUGGUCACAAUUACUUAUGACUGAAUUAGCCAUAAAGCCAGAGAGAGUUUUGGCAAGGUAAAGCCCCGCUCUAAAAGUUAAUGUGUCAGGCUUCUUCAUUAGGUAUUAUGGCGUUGUCGGCUACUCGGCUGUCCAGUGGGAGCUGGAGAGCAGAAGCCUUAGAAGUGGGUAUUGCAUUACAGGGCGUUAGUGGGUGCCAUGCUGCUUCCAGCUCUAUUACCUGGAUCGCUGGGGAUCUCCCUCUCUAAAGGAGUUGUGUAGCAGGCGUUCCCCAACACCUCUAAUUAACCAUUUUGAACGGGCCACUCUAAAAGCAGCCCAGGAACCCUUUCCCUGCUUACAAUUAGCUUAAAUAGUUACAUUAAUGAGAGAAGACAACUGAUGCUGGAGGCUGGGUAGCAAACAGCUUGGGUUAGAUGCUGAUGCUGAGACAGUUGGGCAUCAAUAGCUACAACUCCCUCUAGUGGACAAAAUGGAAUUAAAUGUACAGCAAGGCGUUUGGAAUGCUUAAAAGAGGGAGGAGGAGAAAAAGAGUGAAGUGAGCCGCCAAAGAAAAAUAAACAGAAUGAUGGAGGGAGACAAUGUGAGCUGAAGCAGGUGGUUGAUGUUCGGCGAGUAGGGCAAGGCAACUUCAGGUUUUGAUAGUUUACACCAUCAGCCGGCAGGGCAGCCAGCCUGCUCUACAGCCACUGUCUGUCUUACCAUCUGCCUGGAAUCCUCCAGCCAGAUUUGAAAAAAAAAACAAAAAAAAAAAACUGAAUCAAGACUUUUCAUCAUUAAUCACCCACUUAACACCCAUCAACCCCAGUCUCACCCAGCCGUGUUAUUCUUACACCCACUCUCCGACGUCAGAGCUAGAGCGCCAAAUAUGUCUUUAAUAAACGCUUUGUGAUUGCUCACGAGUUAUUCCCAUAAACCGAUAAAAGCAGCUGUUUGUUUAAGGAGAUCUGCAAUGUGUAAACCUGAUUCACAUUUGAUUUAUGUGGAAAGAAGAAAUUGCCAUUUUUGUGUUUACCGAUGUGCAUAUUUAUACUUUCGGCUGCAUUGAUUUCUUCAUCCUCAGCCGU